UAUGUGUAACAUGUUUGGAUC
rnacentral:siRNA from 1 species